AUGAACGCUGGCGGCGUGCCUAAUACAUGCAAGUAGAACGCUGAAGCUUGGUGCUUGCACCGAGCGGAAGAGUUGCGAACGGGUGAGUAACGCGUAGGUAACCUGCCUCUUAGCGGGGGAUAACUAUUGGAAACGAUAGCUAAUACCGCAUAAAAGUCGGCAUUGCAUGAUGUUGACUUGAAAGGUGCAACUGCAUCACUAAGAGAUGGACCUGCGUUGUAUUAGCUAGUUGGUGAGGUAACGGCUCACCAAGGCGACGAUACAUAGCCGACCUGAGAGGGUGAUCGGCCACACUGGGACUGAGACACGGCCCUGACUCCUACGGGAGGCAGCAGUAGGGAAUCUUCGGCAAUGGACGGAAGUCUGACCGAGCAACGCCGCGUGAGUGAAGAAGGUUUUCGGAUCGUAAAGCUCUGUUGUAAGAGAAGAACGAGUGUGAGAGUGGAAAGUUCACACUGUGACGGUAACUUACCAGAAAGGGACGGCUAACUACGUGCCAGCAGCCGCAGUAAUACGUAGGUCCCGAGCGUUAUCCGGAUUUAUUGGGCGUAAAGCGAGCGCAGGCGGUUAGAUAAGUCUGAAGUUAAAGGCUGUGGCUUAACCAUAGUACGCUUUGGAAACUGUUUAACUUGAGUGCAGAAGGGGAGAGUGGAAUUCCAUGUGUAGCGGUGAAAUGCGUAGAUAUAUGGAGGAACACCGGUGGCGAAAGCGGCUCUCUGGUCUGUAACUGACGCUGAGGCUCGAAAGCGUGGGGAGCAAACAGG
rnacentral:rRNA from 1 species